GAACACAGUUGGAAGUUACAAGUGUAUCACUCUGUGCCCACGAGGAUUUGUGAAAAGUCAUAAUGGCACUUGUGUUGAUACUGAUGAGUGUAGGAUUGGAAGCAACCAGUGUCAUUACAGCCAAGUCUGUACCAACACAUAUGGUAGCUACAGAUGUUCCUGCCCUCGAGGAUACUAUUCUACAGGCACAGGCCAGCCUUGUCAAGAUGUAAACGAGUGUUCCCAGUUUCCGAGCCCAUGCAGCUAUCAAUGUCGGAACCUGAAAGGGGAUUAUGAAUGUAUAUGCGCUCCGGGGCAGAAACUACUGUCGGACGGAAAGUCAUGUGCUGGUUAGAUAUUGUAUUUUAUAAGCUG